GCUUGCUGGUCCCGGAUGAUUCAUAGUAAAUGAACGGAGCGUAUGGCUUGUGCCGACGCUGUGUCAUUCAAGUUUCUGACCUAUCAGCUAUCGACGGUAGGGUAUUGGCCUACCGUGGCAUUGACGGGUAACGGAGAAUUAGGGUUCGAUUCCGGAGAGGGAGCCCGAGAAACGGCUAUCACAUCUAAGGAAGGCAGCAGGCGCGCAAAUUACCCAAUCCAGACACAGGGAGGUAGUGACAAGAAAUAACAAAGCAAGGCGAAAUUUCGCUUUUGCUAUUGGAAUGAGUAGAAUUUAAAUCCCUUUACGACUAUCAAUUGGAGGGCAAGUCUGGUGCCAGCAGCCGCGGUAAUUCCAGCUCCAAUAGCGUAUAUUAAAGUUGUUGCGGUUAAAAAGCUCGUAGUUGGAUUUCUGUCGAGGGUGGCCGGUCCGCACUUUGUGCGUGCAUCUGGUUCAGCCUUGGCAUCCUCGUGAGGAACGUAUCUGCGCUUAAUUGCG
rnacentral:rRNA from 1 species